AGCGAACGCUGGCGGCAGGCCUAACACAUGCAAGUCGAACGAACCUUUCGGGGUUAGUGGCGGACGGGUGAGUAACACGUGGGAACGUGCCUUUAGGUUCGGAAUAACUCAGGGAAACUUGUGCUAAUACCGAAUGUGCCCUUCGGGGGAAAGAUUUAUCGCCUUUAGAGCGGCCCGCGUCUGAUUAGCUAGUUGGUUGAGGUAAUGGCUCACCAAGGCGAUGAUCAGUAGCUGGUCUGAGAGGAUGAUCAGCCACAUUGGGACUGAGACACGGCCCAAACGCCUACGGGAGGCAGCAGUGGGGAAUCUUGCGCAAGGGGCGAAAGCCUGACGCAGCCAUUCCGCGUGAAUGAUGAAGGUCUUAGGAUUGUAAAAUUCUUUCACCGGGGACGAUAAUGACGGUACCCGGAGAAGAAGCCCCGGCUAACUUCGGGC
rnacentral:rRNA from 1 species